AAUAGGAAAACUGAGGUUAAGUAUAGAACAAUACCUGAAGCCAGCACCACUCUGCAAAAAAAACAGAAACAAGCAACAUUUCAAAUGAAACUAAUUAGCUUUUACGUAAUUGGAAGCAAAUGCAGACAGCAUUUACUGGGGCAGAUUCAGAGUGCCGGUUGGAGGUUUCGGGAAUCGAAUAACUUUCAUAUGGAACUAAUAUUUAUAUAGUGAAAUCUAAUAAAUAUAUAAGAAUUAUAAGUUGGGAAUCCAUAAAGAAUGUGUGUUGUUGGUCUAGUGGAGUAGAUAGGCUUGUAAAAGUUGUAUUUACUUGUUAGUUGUAAGGUAUUUGUUUUUAUUUUAGCUAAUGUAGAAAACUCACAAACUUUAAACUCCGAAUUCACCUCUGAUUACAGUGUGUAAAUAUGUAAUAUCUAGUUAUAAACUAUGUGUUUGUGCGUGUAUCUUAUCUUAUGAGUCAUAAUUUUAAGAAUGAAAUUAAAGAAAAAAAUAUAAAGUAUGUGUUUGUGCGUGUA